UUAAGUUCUGUAUUAUUAAUAAUAAUAAUGAUAACAAAUAGCUUAAA
rnacentral:tRNA from 5 species